GUUAGGAAUAUUGGACAAUGGGCGCAAGCCUGAUCCAGCCAUGCCGCGUGCAGGAAGACGCAUCUAUGGUGUGUAAACUGCUUUUGUACGGGAAGAAACACUCCCUCGUGAGGGAGCUUGACGGUACCGUAAGAAUAAGGAUCGGCUAACUCCGUGCCAGCAGCCGCGGUAAUACGGAGGAUCCAAGCGUUAUCCGGAAUCAUUGGGUUUAAAGGGUCCGUAGGCGGUUUAAUAAGUCAGUGGUGAAAGCCCAUCGCUCAACGAUGGAACGGCCAUUGAUACUGUUAGACUUGAAUUACAAGGAAGUAACUAGAAUAUGUAGUGUAGCGGUGAAAUGCUUAGAUAUUACAUGGAAUACCAAUUGCGAAGGCAGGUUACUACUUGUGGAUUGACGCUGAUGGACGAAAGCGUGGGGAGCGAACAGGAUUAGAAACCCUUGUAGUCC
rnacentral:rRNA from 1 species